rnacentral:rRNA from 1 species
GACGAACGCUGGCGGCGUGCUUAACACAUGCAAGUCGAACGGAAAGGCCCUGCUUUUGUGGGGUGCUCGAGUGGCGAACGGGUGAGUAACACGUGAGUAACCUGCCCUUGACUUUGGGAUAUCUUGAGGAAACUGGUGCUAAUACCGGCUAGGAGCUCCUGCUGCAUGGUGGGGGUUGGAAAGUUUCGGCGGUUGGGGAUGGACUCGCGGCUUAUCAGCUUGUUGGUGGGGUAGUGGCAUACCCAGGCUUUGGCGGGUAGCCGGCCUGAGAGGGUGACCGGCGACAUUGGGACUGAGGGACGGCCCAGACGCCAACGGGAGGCAGCAGUGGGGAAUAUUGCACAGUGGGCGGAAGUCUGAUGCAGCAGCGCUGCGUGCGGGAUGACGGCCUUCGGGGUGUAAACCGCUUUAGCCUGUGACGAAGCGGGAGUGACGGUAAUGGGUAAAGAAGCACCGGCUAACUACGUG